GACGAACGCUGGCGGCGUGCUUAACACAUGCCAGUCGAACGCGCCUGUCCUCUGGGUUUCUGGGGGGUGGGUGAGUGGCGAACGGGUGAGUAACACGUGAGUAACCUGCCCCCUUCUUCGGGAUAACGGUCUGAAAGGGCUGCUAAUACCGGGUAUUCACUGGUCUCCGCAUGGGGUCUGGUGGAAAGGUUUUUUUCUGGUGGGGGAUGGGCUCGCGGCCUAUCAGCUUGUUGGUGGGGUGAUGGCCCACCAAGGCUUUGACGGGUAGCCGGCCUGAGAGGGUGCCCGGUCACAUUGGGACUGAGAUACGGCCCAGACUCCUACGGGAGGCAGCAGUGGGGAAUAUUGCACAAUGGGCGCAAGCCUGAUGCAGCGACGCCGCGUGAGGGAUGGAGGCCUUCGGGUUGUGAACCUCUUUCGCCCGUGGUCAAGCCGCGACGUGGGUCGUGGUGAGGGUAGUGGGUAAAGAAGCGCCGGCUAACUACGUG
rnacentral:rRNA from 1 species